UUUUUGAAGGCCCAAUCAUGAAUAAAAAUGGUGAAGGCCCAGCUAUGGGUGAAAAUAGUACUAAUGGGGCGGGUAGCCCAUUAGUAAUUUAUAUUUCUUCUUCCCCUUUCUAUAAUUAUUUGUGGUAUGUUUUUUGGGUCUGUAAAAUUAAACCUUACUAUAAUGAAACCUUGUGGGAUGUAGACUUAGGAAUAUCACCUAGUUGGUAGGUAGUUAAAGAUAAAAGGGGAUCAAAUCUUUCAAUUUUGAAUUCAAAACCGAUUUUCAAAAGAAGCGGGAUAUUUGACUAAGUAGAACUAGGGCUGGGCAUAAAAUACCGAAAACCGAAUUACCGAACCGAACCGGCUAUUUCGGUAUUCGGUAAUUCGGUUCGGUAUUUCGGUUUCGAUAUUCGGUAUUUAAAAUUAUACCGUUCGGUAUUCGGUAAAUACCAAAUACCGAAAUUAAAUUACCAAUACUAUACGUCUGUAGGGCCUAAAGGAGUAAAGGGCUAAAGGCCCAUUGCAAAAAUAUUUUAAGUCCAGCCCAAAUCCGUAAAAAUCAAGUGUAAUCCCUAAGAGUCUUAAGAGUUAAGACCCUAACACUUCAGUACUUCACCACCUUCAUCUCAUUUCCCUUUCUAUUCAUCCAAAUCCUAACUGAGUAAAUAACUUAUUUCUCAUCCAAAGCCUGUGAUUUCUCCAUCUUAAUUUCUGAUUUUGCUCCAUUUUCGUACCUCCUUCUUCUUCUUCUUCCGUGUGGUGACUGCUGAAUUUUUGUUAUCCGUUGUUCUCUGUCUACUUACUUGGGUCCUUUCUUGAUUUGUUUUUUUUAUCUUGUGGUUCAUGUUGGGAGCUUGGGCCUUGGGGUAUUCAUCUAUUCAAUUCGUUUUCUUUUUGUAUUUCAUAUAUUGUUCAUGCUGAUGUGGGAAGGGCAUCGGGGAAUAUGGGUGUAGUCACACAGAAAAGGGAAAAUUUAAGUUGUUUUGGUUCUUUUUGUUUAAGUUGAAGAAAGGACAUAGGAGAAACAUAGUAUAACAAUUUAGAAAAUAGAACUUAUUUAAGCUUCUUUAAUAGCUUCCGUAUUGUAUUUUUUGAUUUUGUUUUACACUUCCAAUGCUUCGUUGUUGUUGUUUUUGGGAGAGAAAGAUAUGAAUGGAUAGUAUCCAUAGCAGUAGUAUUUGGGAGAGAAAGAAAGAAAGAUAUUUGUUAAAAUUGUCUCUUUCGUUUCUGGGAAAUUAAAUGGGUUGCAGAUUUUCUCCUUUUUUGUCUUUUUUCUUUUUGGGUGUGAUCAGUUGGGAUUUGCCUUAUCCCAUAAAUGUUGAAGAAGAUUUUAAUGAUCUUAUGAAACUUGAACUUGGUAUGUUUUUCAGUUUUUGUAUUUUAUUUUUAUAUUUUUUUACUUAGUUUAAUUGUUGACACAUUUUAAAUUCUUUUUAGAUAUGGCUGAUAGCUCAAAAGAUUCCCCCGUUCUUGAUUUGUAAUCGCAAGAUGCCUCAGGUAUAAGGCUCUGAAUUUUCAUUUGAUUAUUCCACAUUAUUUCCACCAGUACUUUUAACUUUUGAUAAUGCCAACUGCUGCAUCUUAACCUGCUUCUUCCCCUUGUUAGUUUGCCAUUUGUGUAAGUCUUUAACAUUGCUAAAAUAGGAGAGGCAGUGUAUGAAUGAAGAAUAGGCAAUGGACAAGAGAUGUAUGCCUCCGGUGUAAUUAUGAUAAGCUGAUGUGACAAAAAAUAGAGAAGCUGCAGGGCAUUGCACAUCCAGUAAGGAACAUGAAUCACUUUUUCAAGAUAAAGUAGAACCAUGUCCACUAAGUUGUUCUAUCUUCUAUGUGGAGAGUUCAAACAAUUGAAUACAGAGGAGACUGAAGCUUGCUCGAGGCUUUUGAGUAUGCGUCCUUUUGUUACAGAAAAUUCGAAGCUCUUAUAUGUUCUUAAGGGUGAAGUUGAGUGGUGUAAAACGUGGACCAGAAUUAUCCAUGGCAGACAAGUAAGCAGGGAGGAGACCCAGAUUUAUAGAAGGUGAUAAGCAGAGUUUUGAAAGCACUCCAUUAUUCCGGAGGUGCCAUUGAUUUACCAUUUUAUGUACAUAUAUGUUUUGAGCACGACGGGGUCCUGUCCCGUCCAUAUAUCUAGUACUCUAGUAGAGGCUCGUAGAUACGUAUGUGUGGGUAGUAUGGUCUCACGAUUUUGAUAAGUGUACAUAUAUUUAUGUAUGUGUAUUAUUUUGAUAGCCGAAGGGCUUAUGUAUAUAAAGGUAAUUA